rnacentral:tRNA from 2 species
GGGUCGUUAGCUCAGUUGGUAGAGCACCGGACUUUUAAUCCGAGAGUCGCAGGUUCGAUCCCUGCACGACCCACCA